GACCGGGGAGGAAACAGCCUCUGACUGUCCCUGCGGCUGAGCGACUGGCCCCAACCCCAGGAGAGCAGACUUUGACACCCAUAUUUCUGAGCACUGGAUGGGGAAGCAAAGCAAUCAGUUAGGAUAUUGCCAGCCUUUUAAAAAAGCAGCACUUAGCAAUAGUGUUUACAGGCUCACGUUUAAGAAAACAAAAAUGCCUGUCUUCCAAGAAUUCCUUUUAAGUGGUUUGGGAAGGUGUGUCCUUCCUAAGUAAAGAGCUUUUCACAGGAGCUCGUGCUGAAUAAUGGCGGAGUCUUGUUAUGGCCCUAUUUGACUUGGGCGGUUGUGUUUCUGUCCUGCUUGAAGCCUUCAAAAAUACUGUAGGUACAUGUAGGAUUAUACUAGUUUGCUUAGCUCCUAUUUAAAAAAAAAAAAAUAAGAUAAGAAAAGAAAGAAAAAGAUGAAGAGAGUAUUCUUGCCUGACUUAGAGAACCUUCCUGCUGACCCGGAGAGGGCCGAGAAGGGACGCGCUUUGGGGCAGGAGCAGGAACCGGCAGUGGCCCGCGGGAGCCCAGGCCCUGUUCGAGGCGAGUCGUUAAUGAGAACUGACUGAGGCUCGGAGGAGAAUGCAGGCCGGCCUGGGUUCCGCCUUCCAUGCUAAUGAAGAACGCAGCGAGGUGGAUAAUUAAGGGCAGUGAUGUGAAUAAUUCCACACCGAUAAUCCAAAGGUAAUGAAAUGCAUUAUGAGUUUUGGGGACAGCAGAUUUGCUUUACCAGCCAAGGCUGCUUUAUGAUAAAAUGAGCUUUGCCUUUUCGAAGCGCGGACCAGCUGACUCUGGGAGGAGCCGGCGGGAAUGGGGAGGACCCCGGGGGAUGGAGGAGGAGCCCGGCCGGGAUGGAGAAUUCAUUCGGCCAUUAGAAACAACAACGUGUGGGAUGCUCGCAGCCCCGGUUCCCGGACGGGGAGACACCCCCCUCGGAUUGACUGGGGGAGGGAGUAAAGGGGGGG